GGCUAAAUAGCUCAGUUGGUAUAGAACAUCACACUGGUUUGGUGGAGGUCAUGGAUUUGAAUCCUGUUGUAGCCU